rnacentral:rRNA from 1 species
GAUGAACGCUGGCGGCGCGCUAACACAUGCAAGUCGAACGAUUAAAGCACCUUCGGGUGUGUAUAAAGUGGCGAACGGCUGAGUAACACGUGGGCAACCUGCCCCUCUCAUUGGGAUAGCCACGGGAAACCGCGGAUAAUACCGAAUACUUCGAGACUUCCGCAUGAAAGACUCGAGAAAGCUCCGGCGGAGAGGGAUGGGCCCGCGGCCUAUUAGCUUGUUGGUGGGGUAACGGCCUACCAAGGCAAUGAUGGGUAGCUGGGUUGAGAGACCGACCAGCCAGAUUGGGACUGAGACACGGCCCAGACUCCUACGGGAGGCAGCAGUGGGGAAUCUUGCACAAUGGGCGAAAGCCUGAUGCAGCGACGCCGCGUGCGGGAUGAAGGCCUUCGGGUUGUAAACCGCUUUCAGCAGGGACGAGGCGAAAGUGACGGUACCUGCAGAAGAAGCCCCGGCUAACUACGUGCCAGCAGCCGCGGUAAUACGUAGGGGGCAAGCGUUAUCCGGAUUCAUUGGGCGUAAAGCGCUCGUAGGCGGUCUGUUAGGUCGGGAGUUAAAUCCGGGGGCUCAACCCCCGUUCGCUCCCGAUACCGGCAGACUUGAGUUUGGUAGGGGAAGGUGGAAUUCCUAGUGUAGCGGUGGAAUGCGCAGAUAUUAGGAAGAACACCAGUGGCGAAGGCGGCCUUCUGGGCCAUAACUGACGCUGAGGAGCGAAAGCUAGGGGAGCAAACAGG